GGAGAGUUGUCCGAGCGGCCGAAGGAGCAUGAUUGGAAAUCAUGUAUAUGGGCAUAAUCCUGUAUCAAGGGUUCGAAUCCCUUACUCUCCG
rnacentral:tRNA from 3 species